UACGAAGGGGGCUAGCGUUGCUCGGAAUCACUGGGCGUAAAGGGUGCGUAGGCGGGUCUUUAAGUCGGGGGUGAAAUCCUGGAGCUCAACUCCAGAACUGCCUUUGAUACUGAAGAUCUUGAGUUCGGGAGAGGUGAGUGGAACUGCGAGUGUAGAGGUGAAAUUCGUAGAUAUUCGGAAGAACACCAGUGGCGAAGGCGGCUCACUGGCCCGAUACUGACGCUGAGGCACGAAAGCGUGGGGAGCAAACAGG
rnacentral:rRNA from 1 species